CUUGUGUAUAUUAUGUCUACCUUGCAACCAGUAGAAGUUUCACUUUUUGGAAUAAAGCUAUUAUUCGUGCCCCUUUCCGCUCCUCUCAGCUGUUUCAAAAAUCGCAAAAUUCCACAAAUUACAAUUGAAGAAUGCUGUUCUCAAAUGAAUCGAUUUCUCGAGGAUAUGCCAGGAUUUGGUGACUGAGGAGAUGGGAGUGGAGAGCAGUCCCAUCCAUUUCGGAACGACUUUCAAACCAAAAGUUUCUACCGGGAAAGGGUUCUAUGAAAAUAGAAUCUUUGAUGAGGCAUCUUCUUCAGCCCUGUUAAUCACAAUUUUGAUUGAUGUUUCAUGAUGGGGAAAAAACGAGAGGAAUUUAAUUAGACUGUAUUAAGGACCAGGUGGCCUUAACUUGAUAUAAAAACAACUGUUAAAAAGUAAGAAUUUCAAACUACAUUCGACUCACCUUAAAGCUAAAUCUUGAUUCCGAGAAAGGUAUGUGCAUUUAUUGAUAA